UAAAAAGCAUUGACCAGGACGAGUAAUUGAAAUUCUGGCUUCUAGAGAGAGAAGAUCAACGGCUGAAAAUCUUCUUAAGCAAAGAUCAAUGAAAACCUCCCGAGAGCAUGAUCCCGAAAUGCCCAUGCAGAGUAAGGUGAACGGUUUGCCCCGUUAUCGGCACCAAGAGAUGGCUGUUAACAGAAUUUAUCAGCUAAUCUGGGUGGAACCGCGUGAGAGACCUCUCGCCCCAGUG
rfam:Anaerolinaceae bacterium 46_22 MPJ_scaffold_1262, whole genome shotgun sequence.